rnacentral:rRNA from 1 species
AUGCAGUGUACCCGCGGCAAGACGGAAAGACCCCGUGAACCUUUACUAUAGCUUGACACUGAACAUUGAGCCUUGAUGUGUAGGAUAGGUGGGAGGCUUUGAAGUGUGGACGCCAGUCUGCAUGGAGCCGACCUUGAAAUACCACCCUUUAAUGUUUGAUGUUCUAACGUUGACCCGUGAUCCGGGUUGCGGACAGUGUCUGGUGGGUAGUUUGACUGGGGCGGUCUCCUCCUAAAGAGUAACGGAGGAGCACGAAGGUUGGCUAAUCCUGGUCGGAC